CUUCUGUCAAAUAUUCAAAAUUGUCAAAGUUCAAUCACUCAAAUGAAUAAAAAAAUAUGCCUUACCAUACUAUGUUACAACUAUCAUCAGUUAUGUGUUGAUAACUGAAAGAGUACAGGAAUAAAAUAAGAUUUUAUUUAUGUGAGCAUUACCUGAAUCUGUUUCUUAUAAUGACCGGAGUGAAAUUCCUUCUUGGAAAAACCAAGAACGAAAAUUGGACGGAUAUUAGCCUAAGAAAAAGUUACGGACUACCUCAAAAAUAUGUAUUUUUAACGUGAAGUCUAUGAAGAUAUAACAAGGAAAGUUGAAAGUGAAUUUUGGAAUUGAAUGUUCCCUUGUCUGUAAAUGAAUAAAUAUAUGUAUGAAACCUUU